rnacentral:rRNA from 1 species
AUGGAGAGGCCAUUAUCCACAAGCAUCGGAAAGAAGCCUCAGGUUAUCAAGGCAACCUUGAUGAGAUUCAAUGAUGCACAUCCUUCCGAGAAUACCAGCAACAAGAAUGAAAAGGUAAGGGUUCUACCGUGCCGGCCUGAAGGCUUUGCCUCCUUGCGGAUUGGCCUGGCGCGCGAGCAAAAAAUGGUUGACCCGACCCAGCACGACAUGGUUUCGAGGCGAUCCGAGUUGAGUUUAGGCUUUCUGUCCCAUUUUGGUAUUCUGCGUUGUUCGGCCUUUCGGCCAUUUUAUUGUUUCAGUCAGAAAGACCAAAAUAGCUCCAAAGACAAAAAAAGCCCCAACAUCACUAAAACGGGCAAACUUUGGCCACGUGCGAGGCUUGCUCGUGCCGGCCUGCGAAUAAAAUGGCCACCCCCUCCCCCGCGAGAACCGUGCGACAACCCCCACCACCUCCCCCGCAGGCCCUUCUGGGCCGGCCCAGGUGGGGCACGAGAGAGACUGACGCGUGGGGUUUACUCUGCCAUCAUCAAGGUCGAACCAGAUCAGACUCUCCCCUUCUCGUCAUUCCCUCGCCGCCGGCGCCACCGCGUCCGAUGGUCCAUCCUCACCCAGGCUCUCUCGUCUCCCUCGGCCUUUCCCUUCUCCCCGCUCCGGUGCCUCAUCUCUGUCGCUGCGUCCGCCAUCUCUUCGAGCCCUAGCUUUGUCGUGGAGGACUAUCUCGUCGAGACCUGCGGCCUCAGACAUGCACAGGCCCUCAAGUCCCCUCCAAGCCUGACGCCGACCUCGCCUUCCUCGCUGGACUUGGCAUCUCCACAACCGAUAACCCUUGCCCCCGUCGUCUCCGGGCUCACCAAUCUGGGUCUGCCGCGCCCCGAGAUCGCGCGUCUCGUCCCGCUUGUCUGCAAAUCCUUCUGCUUUAGACCCACCGUCCCCAAGCUGGAGUACUGCAUGCACCUCUUCGGCUCCUUCGACAACCUCCUCCGGGCGCUCAGGCGCAGCUCCUACAUUCUCGGUUACGGCCUCGAGAGGAUGGUCAAGCCCAUUGUCGCGUUACUGCAGGAGUGCGGGCUAGAUGAUUGCAACAUUGCCAUGCUAUGCAUCGCUACACCGAGGCAUGCGCUCAAGGUUGUUGCAUGUAUCUGUGAGGAGAAUAUUGCCGCCAAAGUGGACUGCUUGAAGAACACCUUCAGGCGGUCAGAUGUUGAGGUGGACAUUGUUGUUUCUAGGGCUCCAGUUGUGCUGCUGAGGUCCAAGGAAUCGCUGCAACGUAGGUCUGAGUUCCUGAUCUCUGAGCUGGGGUUGGAAUCGGCCUACGUGGCUCAUCGGCCAACGUUGCUCAUUGAUAGUAUAGAGGGCCGGAAGCAAGCAUUGCCGACAAUCUCUGAAGAUGAGAAAUCCAGGAAUAUAUUUGUGUUUCCAACUUAUGCUUGCUUAAGAUCAUGGAAACUGGUUGACCUUAUUUUUGCUGGGAAACUCAUUCCUCUUCUCUAUUUUUCCAUGAGAGAAGAUGACAUGAUUUGGUGUGAGGUCCCGUACAUAUAUGCUUUUAUGAAAGAUAGUGCAUUUGGGUGGAUGAGCAGAUGUUUAGGCGGAGCAAGACAGGCACCCUACCGCAGUCAUAGCGUCCAUCAUGCUGCCAAGACGGUCCCAGUGUUGCUGUCUAGGAGCAAGUGCCAGAGCUGCAAAAAGGACGGAAAUUUUGAAUAUAGUCAUUGGCCAUCACAUAUACACCUGCUCAAUAACAAUAACAUCUUGUUUUGUGUCGUCCAAAGGAUCCGGGUUAUCACUGCGAACAGUAGCCAGAAGAGACAUCUCCAACCGUGUAUAUUUUCUCUAGCCAUCGAAAUAUUGUUUAUGGUGGCCCCCACAUUGUCAAAUCCUAGAUCCGCCACUGCAUAUGAAGAUGCUGAUCUUCAACGGGAUGAGCACUUCCAUGGGAGUGUGGUCCAUCAAGAGUCGGCGCACAACAAAGAGCAUGAUAUCACCUUGUUUGGUCAAAUGACAUUAAGCUUUUCUGUUGAACUUGUUGUCUUCUAG